GAAUAUUCCACAAUGGGCGAAAGCCUGAUGGAGCAAUGCCGCGUGCAGGAUGAAGCCCCUCGGGGUGUAAACUGCUGUCAGGGUUUAGGAAACAAAUGACCAUACCCAAAGGAAGAGGCGGCUAACUCUGUGCCAGCAGCCGCGGUAAUCCAGAGGCCUCGAGCGUUGCGCGGAAUCACUGGGCUUAAAGGGUGCGUAGGCGGAUGUGCAAGUGCCUGGUGAAAUCCCCGGGCUCAACCCGGGAACUGCUUGGUAGACUGCAUGUCUUGAGGUCGGUAGGGGUUGCUGGAACAGUUGGUGGAGCGGUGAAAUGCGUAGAUAUCAACUGGAACGCCAAAGGCGAAGGCAAGCAACUGGGCCGAUUCUGACGCUGAGGCACGAAAGCGUGGGGAGCAAACGGG
rnacentral:rRNA from 1 species